GGGAGUGUGGUGGAAUAGGUAGACACACCAGACUUAAAAUCUGUUGACCCUGACAGGUCGUGCGAGUUCAAGUCUCGCCACUCCUAC
rnacentral:tRNA from 1 species